rnacentral:rRNA from 1 species
AGUGAACGCUGGCGGUAGGCCUAACACAUGCCAGUCGAACGGCAGCACAGUAAGAGCUUGCUCUUACGGGUGGCGAGUGGCGGACGGGUGAGGAAUACAUCGGAAUCUACUUUUUCGUGGGGGAUAACGUAGGGAAACUUACGCUAAUACCGCAUACGACCUACGGGUGAAAGCAGGGGAUCUUCGGACCUUGCGCGAUUGAAUGAGCCGAUGUCGGAUUAGCUAGUUGGCGGGGUAAAGGCCCACCAAGGCGACGAUCCGUAGCUGGUCUGAGAGGAUGAUCAGCCACACUGGAACUGAGACACGGUCCAGACUCCUAAGGGAGGCAGCAGAGGGGAAUGUUGGACAAUGGGCGCAAGCCUGAUCCAGCCAUACCGCGUGGGUGAAGAAGGCCUUCGGGUUGUAAAGCCCUUUUGUUGGGAAAGAAAAGCAGCAGGUUAAUAACCCGCUGUUCUGACGGUACCCAAAGAAUAAGCACCGGCUAACUUCGUG